rnacentral:rRNA from 1 species
AGUGAACGCUGGCGGUAGGCCUAACACAUGCAAGUCGGACGGCAGCACAGUAAGAGCUUGCUCUUACGGGUGGCGAGUGGCGGACGGGUGAGGAAUACAUCGGAAUCUACUUUUUCGUGGGGGAUAACGUAGGGAAACUUACGCUAAUACCGCAUACGACCUACGGGUGAAAGCAGGGGAUCUUCGGACCUUGCGCGAUUGAAUGAGCCGAUGUCGGAUUAGCUAGUUGGCGGGGUAAAGGCCCACCAAGGCGACGAUCCGUAGCCGGUCUGAGAGGAUGAUCAGCCACACUGGAACUGAGACACGGUCCAGACUCCUACGGGAGGCAGCAGUGGGGAAUAUUGGACAAUGGGCGCAAGCCUGAUCCAGCCAUACCGCGUGGGUGAAGAAGGCCUUCGGGUUGUAAAGCCCUUUUGUUGGGAAAGAAAAGCAGCAGGUUAAUACCCCGCUGUUCUGACGGUACCCAAAGAAUAAGCACCGGCUAACUUCGUG